rnacentral:rRNA from 1 species
UAGGGAAUCUUCCACAAUGGACGCAAGUCUGAUGGAGCAACGCCGCGUGAGUGAAGAAGGUUUUCGGAUCGUAAAGCUCUGUUGUUGGUGAAGAAGGAUAGAGGUAGUAACUGGCCUUUAUUUGACGGUAAUCAACCAGAAAGUCACGGCUAACUACGUGCCAGCAGCCGCGGUAAUACGUAGGUGGCAAGCGUUGUCCGGAUUUAUUGGGCGUAAAGCGAGCGCAGGCGGAAGAAUAAGUCUGAUGUGAAAGCCCUCGGCUUAACCGAGGAACUGCAUCGGAAGCUGUUUUUCUUGAGUGCAGAAGAGGAGAGUGGAACUCCAUGUGUAGCGGUGGAAUGCGUAGAUAUAUGGAAGAACACCAGUGGCGAAGGCGACUCUCUGGUCUGCAACUGACGCUGAGGCUCGAAAGCAUGGGUAGCGAACAGG